UACGUAGGGUGCAAGCGUUAAUCGGAAUUACUGGGCGUAAAGCGUGCGCAGGCGGUUAUGUAAGACAGAUGUGAAAUGCCCGGGCUUACCUGGGAACUGCAUUUGUGACUGCAUGGCUAGAGUGUGUCAGAGGGGGGUAGAAUUCCACGUGUAGCAGUGAAAUGCGUAGAUAUGUGGAGGAACACCGAUGGCGAAGGCAGCCCCCCUGGGAUAACACUGACGCUCAUGCACGAAAGCGUGGGGAGCAAACAGG
rnacentral:rRNA from 1 species